rnacentral:tRNA from 1 species
CGGGGAUAGCUUAAAGUAAAGCUCAAAAUUCUUACUUCUGUGAUAUCUUAUUAUAGAUUUCCUGG